rnacentral:rRNA from 1 species
CCUACGGGAGGCUGCAGUGGGGAAUAUUGCUCAAUGGGGGAAACCCUGAUGCAGCAACGCCGCGUGGAGGAUGAAGGUUUUCGGUUUGUAAACUUCUUUUGUUAGAGAAGAAAAUGACGGUAUCUGACGAAUAAGCACCGGCUAACUCCGUGCCAGCAGCCGCGGUAAUACGGAGGGUGCAAGCGUUAUUCGGAAUCACUGGGCGUAAAGGGCGCGUAGGCGGGUUAGCAAGUCAGAUGUGAAAUCCUAAGGCUUAACCAUAGGACUGCAUUUGAAACUGUUAAUCUAGAGUAUAGGAGAGGUAGGUGGAAUUCUUGGUGUAGGGGUAAAAUGCGUAGAGAUCAAGAGGAAUACUCAUUGCGAAGGCGACCUGCUAGAACGUAACUGACGCUGAUGCUCGAAAGCGUGGGGAGCAAACAGGAUUAGAUACCCCGGUAGUC